GGGGGGGUGGGGCGGAGACAGGGGCAGGUUCAGUCCCCAGGGGCCAGAGGCAGGGCUUACCUAAGGGGGCACAGCUCUGGGGUAAACAGGGCCCGGAGAGGGUGGGCCUCCCGAGUAGGAUCCAGACUUCUGCCCUGCAGGACCGGAAGCCCCCCCCUCAAGUGCAAGGCUCCCACCCUCCUGGGCUGAGAGCCCUGUGGAUGAGGAACCAGACCUUCCCCUCCCACACGCAAACACACACACACACACACACACACACACCCCCACACACACACCCCAAGUGCAGAGAAAAGAGGUGGGGUCCCUCUGGCCAAGCCCAGUCAGGGAUGGAGUGAGUUGGAGAUUACAGGUCAGGUGUCCCAGGGCCUAGACCAGUCAUGCAGAAAGCAGAACCCGCCCUCUCCCAGAGGACAGGGCGUUUGGGCCCUGGCAAGCUCUGGUUCCUGUCUCCACCACGUGUGGCCCCCAGGACCGGUGACCCGGGGCGGUCCAGCAUGCCUGACAGAGGCCCUCGUGUGUGCAGGGUAAGGGGCAGCCCAGGGCAGGUGGCAUCUAUGCAAGACAACAUCUAUGCGUCCCCCUGGCGCCCAGGACACGGGACCUGACCCAACCGGAAACAGCUUCCCCUCGGGCGCCAAGGGCAGCUGAGUGAGGAUGCAGGCAGAAUUUGUGGCAGUGGUCCUGGGGGGAUGCUCCCAGGAGAAGGGGAUCAGCCGUGGCCUCCUUCUCCCCUUCCUGAAGCCCAUUCCAGCGUCUGCUCUCCCCCUUCUCAGGAUGGCAUAAGCAGGACGGAGGAUACCCCCCCCAACUGCUGGGGCCCCAGAGGGAGCCUGCGUCUCUCGGCUCCGGCAGCCGGAAUGAAGGCUGCGCUAGCUGUUACUCAGAUCUGCAGUCUGUGCCAGGAGCUGGGCCUGAAGGAAGGAAGGUCCUUGCAGGUUACCUCGGCUUUUUGGUCCAUCAGGUUCUAAGAGGUACUGAUAGGCUAUUUUGCCCAUCAGGACCCAAUACCCUUCCCUGCCUCCCAACUUGGAG
rnacentral:lncRNA from 9 species